CAGUAGCCACGGGAAUACGUAGGUGGCAAGCGUUGUCCGGAAUUAUUGGGCGUAAAGGGCUCGCAGGCGGUUUCUUAAGUCUGAUGUGAAAGCCCCCGGCUCAACCGGGGAGGGUCAUUGGAAACUGGGAAACUUGAGUGCAGAGGAGGAGAGUGGAAUUCCACGUGUAGCGGUGAAAUGCGUAGAGAUGUGGAGGAACACCAGUGGCGAAGGCGACUCUCUGGUCUGUAACUGACGCUGAGGAGCGAAAGCGUGGGGAGCGAACAGGAUUAGAUACCCCUGUAGUCCCUGUCUCUUAUAC
rnacentral:rRNA from 1 species